AGCAAAAUGCUCAAAAUGGUGCAUCAAAAUACGUUUGUGGAAACACGGCUAUAGAAUGAGCCCUGAGGGCAGAAGAAAAAGCACAAAACUGAAGGACUGACACUAAUCAUGCUAGCACAUACAUACAUAAGAGGUGCUGGUGCUCAGAUGAUCAUAUCCACCUUCCAGGCUUUAGCAUUUGCUAAUGUGGCUAUCGUGUCCUCCAUGUCCAGGAUUCUUCAGACUUUCUGCUCUUUUGAUAUAAUGGCGUGAUCUGGCAGGCGGUGAUCUGAUACAUUGUAGACCGCAGGACCACAGCCAAUUAAAAUGAUAGAAAGAAGGAAGGCAGAGAUGAAAGAAGGAAGGAAGUAAGAGAGUGAGAUGUGUGGCAGGGGGAUGGAGGAAGAAAAUAAAGUUUGAGAAAGGAGUAAAGGAGAAGGAAAGAAUGGAUAGAAGCAAGGAAAGGGGAAAGGGAUCGUGACAAGCUAUGUGUGACUCACACGCAACCUCUGAAUCUCA